GUGGGGAAUAUUGCGCAAUGGGGGAAACCCUGACGCAGCGACGCCGCGUGAGCGAAGAAGGCCUUAGGGUUGUAAAGCUCUGUUUUAAGGGACGAACGUUACGGGGAGUAAUAUGCCCUGUAAAUGACGGUACCUUAAGAGGAAGCCCCGGCUAACUACGUGCCAGCAGCCGCGGUAAGACGUAGGGGGCGAGCGUUGUCCGGAAUUACUGGGCGUAAAGAGCACGUAGGCGGGAAUUUAAGUCAGAUGUGAAAGACCGGGGCUCAACUCCGGGGUUGCAUUUGAAACUGAAUUUCUUGAGGGCAGGAGAGGAAAGCAGAAUUCCUGGUGUAGCGGUGAAAUGCGUAGAAAUCAGGAGGAAUACCAGUGGCGAAGGCGGCUUUCUGGACUGACCCUGACGCUGAGGUGCGAAAGCGUGGGUAGCAAACAGGAUUAGAAACCCGUGUAGUCC
rnacentral:rRNA from 1 species